rnacentral:ribozyme from 12 species
ACACCUGAAAGAAUGGAAAGAGAGAAGCAAUCAAGGCAAUAGAUAGAUAAUAGUGAUAAUGAUGAUAAUUUAGUGAAUUAUCGUAGUUUUUCUCUUUUUGUGUUUC